GGGUUCGAUCCUGGCUCAGAUUGAACGCUGGCGGGAUGCUUUUGAUACAUGCAAGUCGAACGGCGCAUCGGACUUUGUCUAUGAGUGGCGAACGGGUGAGUAAUGUAUCGGAACGUGCUCAGUAUGGGGAUAACUACGCGAAAGCGGCCAAUAACGCAUAUUGCCCUUCGGGGGAAAGCGGGGACCUUCGGCCCCGCACUAUUAGAGUGUCGAUAUCGGAUUAGCUAGUUGGUGCAACGCCUACCAGCGACGAUCCGUAGCUGGCUGAGGACGACCAGCCACACUGGGACUGAGGACAGCCCAGACCCGCCGUGGAAAGGUGGGCCUUGGAUAAUGGGGAAACCCCGAUCCAGCCAUCCCGCGUGCGAUAGCCUUCGGGCUGUAAAGCACUUUUGGCAGAGAAAGAAACGGCACGGGAGCAAUCUGCAACUACUGGCACCUGCAGAAUAAGCACCGUUAACCUACGCCAGCAGCCGCGGUACGUAGGGUGAAGCGUUAACUGGAACGAUUGCUGAAGCGUGCGCAGGCGGUUCUGGAAAGAAAGAUGUGAAAUCCCAGAGCUUAACUUUGAACUGCAUUUUUAACUACCGAGCUAGAGUGUGUCAGAGGAGGAAUUCGCGUGUAGCAGUGAAAUGCGUAUUGGCGUGGAGGAACACCGAUGGCGAAGGCAGCCUCCGGAUAAAUACCUACGCUCAUGCACGCGCGUGGGAGCAAACAGGAUUACAAUUCUGUGUCCAGACGCCACCUAAACGAUGUCAACUAGCUGCUAGCCUUGGGCCUUGGUGAAGGAAGACCAGAAGUUGACCAGUCUGGGAGUACGGUCGUAAGAUUAAAACUCAGCGAAUUGACGGGGACCGCACAAGCGGUGGGACAUGUGGAUUAAUCGGAUGCAACGAAAACCUGACUAAAUUCUUGACAUGCUCCGGAAUCCCGAAGAGAUUUUGGGAGUGCUCGCAAGAGAACCGAACACAGGUGCUGCAUGGUUGCUGCCGCUCGUGUCGUGAGAUGCCGGGUUAAGUCCCGCAACGACAGCAACCCUUGUCAUUAGUUGCUACGAAAGGGCACUCUAUCGAGACUGCCGGUGACAAACCGGAGGAAGGUGGGGAUGACGUCAAGUCCUCAUGGCCCUUAUGGGUAGGGCUUCACACGUCAUACAAUGGUCGGGACAGAUAGGUCGCCAACCCGCGAGGGGGAGCCAAUCCAGAAACCCCGAUCGUAGUCCGCUGAUCGCAGUCUGCAACCCGACUGGUAGUCGGAAAUCGCUGCAGUAAUUCGUGAUCAGCGUCGCGGCAGAAUACGUUCCGGGUCUUGUACACACCGCCCGUCACACCAUGGGAGUGGCUUUACCAGAAGUAGUUAGCCUAACCGUAAGGGAGGGCGAUUACCACGGAUUCACAUCAAAAGGAAGCCGGGGAACAAGGCAG
rnacentral:rRNA from 1 species